rnacentral:tRNA from 1 species
CAAGACGUAGCUUAUAAAAGCUUAUUACUUACAUUAAUAAGAAAAUUAUUUCCAAUAAUUCGUAUUGA